CAGCAGCCGCGGGAAUACCAGCAGCCCAAGUGGUGGUCGCGUUUAUUGGGCCUAAAGCGCUCGUAGCCUGACCGGUAAGUUCCCCGUGAAAUCGGGUCGCCCAACGAUUCGGCUUGCGGGGAAUACUGUCGGUCUUGGGGCCGGGAGACGCCGAGGGUACUCCGGGGGUAGCGGUGAAAUGCUGUAAUCCUCGGGGGACUACCAGUGGCGAAGGCGCUCGGCGAUAACGGGCCUGACGGUGAGGGGCGAAAGCUGGGGGCGCGAACGGGAUUAGAUACCCGGGUAGUCCCUGUCUCUUAUA
rnacentral:rRNA from 1 species